rnacentral:rRNA from 1 species
AUGAAGGGGAGUAGCAACAAUUUAUGGUUCAGAUUAGGAGCAGAGCAGGGGGCCAAGGAAGCAGCAGCAGCUAGAAGCUUCGAGUUCAGAGAAGGAGGGAAGUGGAGGAAGUGGAAGAGAUGGAGCAGCAGCGUGGGAUUGAGAAGAAGAGCAGCAGCAGCAGCGUUAGGGGAAGCAGAGGAGGAGGAGCAGAGAGAUGAACAGCGGCAGGGGCGUGGGAGAAGCAGCGAGGCAAGGGAAGGAGGAAGAAGAGAAGCAGCGAGGCAAGGGAAAGAGGAAGAAGAGAAGCAGCGAGGCAAGGAGAAUCGCGUGGGGCACCAGACGCCUCGUCUGGUCGGGCGCGCGAGCGUGGGGUGA